CAAGUUAUAUCAUCAUUAUUACGAACUGUAAUAGUUCUUCGUUCAGCACAUGUUAUAUAAUAAUUGUCGUUACUACACACAAGAAGUCUUAAUAUACGUAUUUGUCAACGUAUGGGUUUGGUCAAUGUAAUUUUGUAUUGGGUAAGCCAAUUAAUAGUCUUGUACCUUUAGACUACCGGGUUUUCACCUCGUGUUAGAAAUAACGCACGUAUCAUGAGAGACAAGGAGACGGAGAAGUUAAGAAACCCCAGACGUAUUCAUCUAUGGCGUUCAAUCCUAUAUUCAUGUAUGGCGUUCAAUCCUAUAUUCGUGGUUGUUUAUGUCAUACUGUAAAAAUCCUUACCCCACGUAGCCAACAAUGAAUCUAGGACUUUACCCCACGCGCGAGGGCGUGAGAACCCUCUACUGUAUGGGAACCGGAUGUAUACUUAUAACGAUAGUAUUUUUUAACCCUUCAACUAUUACACGAAGUAGUUUCGCAAUGUAAUAAUUAUCCUUCAACAUUACUGUCCAGAGGAACGUCCUGGUGAGAGUCACCAACCGGGAGGACAAGUGAAUGUGUUUUUGUCUUCCGUCUUCUACUAUAACCGGGACGACAACUCGGCGUUUGUAUCUUACAACGAAACCGUCCAGUUUCCUUCUUCGUCCAGCUUCCUUCUUCAAAUCUGAUUUCUAUACCAGUUUCCUUCUUCGUCCAGUUUCCUUCUUCAAAUCUGAUUUCACCUCUCUUCUUAAAAUGUCGACGCACAUAGGCCGACCGACGCUGCCCGUCCCGCCCGACAUGGUCACCCCUAGAGGGCAUCCCUACGGUGCGACGCUCCCGUCCUAGGACCCGCAAGGGACCGCAGCGACGGUACCGCUGGAACGACCUUCAAAACACCGCAGCGACGGGACCGCUGGAGCCCCUUCCUUCGCUGCGACGAGCGCCUGCCAGAGGUGCAACCAGCCGUUGUUACCGCUACUGCAACCGCUACGCACUAACAUCCCCCACCUACCCCCCACGACCUCCACCUCGUGCCAGUCAGUUCCCAUAAAGGAUUCAGGUGUGGCAUGUCCGUCGUUUACUUACUACCGACAAUCUAAAUCUACACGCCCAUAUUAACACACCACAACUAACAAGGCACGCAAAACACCCUGUUCAACGGCCCACAUAAAUCGCUUCAAGAACAAACGAACAAAUAAUCAUCAUCUCUAU
rnacentral:rRNA from 1 species